AGACAGGCCGCUCCCGCCUUCUGUU
rnacentral:piRNA from 1 species